AAUGUGGAUCUUCCAAAUUUUGCUUCGAGAAUCAAUUGGAGGGCAAGUCUGGUGCCAGCAGCCGCGGUAAUUCCAGCUCCAAUAGCGUAUAUUAAAGUUGUUGCAGUUAAAAAGCUCGUAGUUGUUGGGGUUGGGAAAUUUGAAGAAUCUUCACUGGUCUUCAGACUUCCUAAAAGCUGUUUCAAUCGGCUUUGUGUUACUUUGAGAAAAUUUGAGUGUUCAUCUCGGGCAAAUUGCUUACAUAAUGUACCAUGGAAUAACUCUGUGGCCCUAAUUCUGUCUUUUGGCUUACAUUAUUGGGGUUCGUGGUUGAAAGGAAUAGUUGGGGGCAUUCGUACUGAACAGUUAGAGGUGAAAUUCUUAGAUUUGUUCAAGACGAACCAGUGCGAAAGCAUCUGCCAAGGAUGUUUUCAUUAAUCAAGAACGAAAGUUAGGGGAUCGAAGACGAUCAGAUACCGUCGUAGUCUUAACUGUAAACAAUGCCGACUAGAGAUCGGUGGAAUUCGAAUUGGAAUCCUUCGGCAUCUACAGAGAAAUCAAAGUUCUUGGGUUCUGGGGGGAGUAUGGUCGCAAGGCUGAAACUUAAAGGAAUUGACGGAAGGGCACCACCAGGAGUGGAGCCUGCGGCUUAAUUUGACCCAACACGGGAAAACUUACCAGGUCCGGACAUAGGUAUGAUUGACAGACUGAGAGCCCUUUCUUGAUUCUAUGGGUGGUGGUGCAUGGCCGUUCUUAGUUGGUGGAUUGAUUUGUCUGGUUGAUUCCGACAACGAACGAGACCUUACUUUCUAAUUAGAUCCAAGACAUACGUGUUUCCUGGGUCGCCUUAGCAGAACUUUGUGCGUUGCAGCACAAUGAAGCACAGGCAAUAACAGGUCUGUGAUGCCCUUAGAUGUUCUGGGCUGCACGCGUGCUACAAUGAAACUUACCAUAAGUUGCGAUGUCGAAAAGCUAUGCAAAUCUUUGAAUGCGUUUCGUGACAGGGACAGUUGAUUGUAAUUUUUCGACUCGAACGAGGAAUUCCUUGUAAUCGUGAUUCAUCAUAUCGCGCUGAAUACGUCCCUGCCCUUUGUACACACCGCCCGUCGCUCCUACCGAUUGGGCGAUCCGGUGAAUUAUUUGGAGUUUUGACGAUUUCUUUCGGAAACCUGCCAAUUCAAAUUUUUGU
rnacentral:rRNA from 1 species